CCUACGGGUGGCAGCAGUGGGGAAUAUUGCACAAUGGAGGAAACUCUGAAGCAGCGACGCCGCGUGAGGGAAGAAGUCUCUCGGGGUGUUAAGCUCUGUUAGCAGGGAAGUAAAUGACGGUACCUGACCAAUAAGCCCCGGCUAACUACGUGCCAGCAGCCCCGGGAAUACGUAGGGGGCAAGCGUUAUCCGGAUUUACUGGGCGUAAAGGGAGCGUAGACGGCAGGGUAAGUCUGGAGUGAAAGGCGGGGGCUCAACCCCAGGACUGCUCUGGAAACUGGCAGGCUGGAGUGCAGGUGAGGUAAGUGGAAUUCGUAGUGUAGCGGUGAAAUGCGUAGAUAUUACGAGGAACACCAGUGGCGAAGGCGGCUUACUGGACUGUAACUGACGUUGAGGCUCGAAAGCGUGGGUAGCAAACAGGAUUAGAUACCCUAGUAGUC
rnacentral:rRNA from 1 species